rnacentral:rRNA from 1 species
AUUGAACGCUGGCGGCAGGCCUAACACAUGCAAGUCGAGCGAGCGGCGGACGGGUGAGUAAUGUCUGGGAACCUGCCUGUUGGGGGGCGAUAACUACUGGAAACGGUAGCUACUACCGCAUACCAUCAGAUGUGCCCCGGUGGGAUUAGCUAGGAGGUGGGGUAACGGCCCACCUAGGCGACGAUCCCUAGCUGGUGUGAGAGGAUGACCAGCCACACUGGAACUGAGACACGGUCCAGACUCCUACGGGAGGCAGCAGUGGGGAAUAUUGGACAAUGGGCGAAAGCCUGAUGCAGCCAUGCCGCGUGUGUGAAGAAGGCCUUCGGGUUGUAAAGUACUUUCAGCGGGGAGGCGUUACCCGCAGAAGAAGCACCGGCUAACUCCGUGCCAGCAGCCGCGGUAAUAC